UAGGUGAAACAUUAGCCACGGCCUUUUGGAUUCAGUCCAGUGUCUUUCAAUUAUUUCUUUAUGUGCUUUUGGUCCUAGGCUUAUUUGGCAUGGGACAGGCAUCCAUUAGAAGAUUUCACAAUGAUUUGCCAUGUGACAGCUCUAAACAGAUGUGAACUCAUCACCAAAGGAAAUUUAUGUUUUGCCAUCUUUUCCCCCACCUCUCCCUGGGGAGCUGCAGGGAAAAGCACUCCAAGCGAAUUAAUCAAAAUGACUAGAGAGAAGCCAUCUAUGAUCUUCAGAGUCUAAAGACUUCCGUUCAAGUCCUCCCGCCACCAUAUUUGACAUGGAAUGUCAGGAGAGCAACACAGAAUGAAAAAUCCCUAAGUGUGAGAUGAUCCUGCAGGAAACCAGCGGCAAUGGGCUGACUGGAGAUUGCUUCUUGGACAAGAUGGGCUUGGAGCCUUGUCUUGCUAUCCGGAUUGUAAUAUUCAACCUUUCCAACCAUGAUGCUUGUGGCCAGCUUAGACCUAUCCCCCACCUUUUCGAUCUAACAUCUAUGGAGAGGGAAGGCAUGAAAUCCCACCAGGCGGUCAGGACACUUCCUAGCCCACUGUGUUGACAAGAUGCUUCUCUAAUAAAGCAGAUAUGCAGGAGCCCAUGGCCGUUGGCAACUGGGCAAGUGUCAGCUAAAGUUGGAGGCGCCAAAAGCACGGUGAACGAAAGAAGAGCGCUGUAUGGUCCCCAGGAAUCCCUCCCCCAAGGAACGGAGAAGAGCAGUAGACUUUCGGAAAUUAAGAGUCAUUGGCUUUGUAGCAAACAAAAGCAAAAAGGCUCUUUUCAAACAUAGGUGUCAUUUUUAGAAGAGGACAGAGCCAAAGCUGCCAAGAGUCUGUAAGCCCCGCAAAUUCAAGCAUGAAAUGGAUAUUCAAGGAUAGCUUGCCCACAAAUGCAGAGCCGGGGACACAGAAGAUGCUGUGAAAUUAUCGGCCGCAUGAUACACAAUGAUCUGCCAAGAGGAAAGGAAGCCCAUAUUGUACAUGCCACAUCUCAUUAUCCACUGGAGGAGAGAGGACGGUGGGGAAUGCUCAUGGGGUCAAGUUACCUAGUGAACAGCUUCAAAUAAGGGCCGUGGUUUCUGUCUCCUGAUAAGACCCUGACUGAGCAGCCUCCCCUGUAAACCGAGAGGCAGCAUGGAAUCAUGGGAAACGGCCUGAGUUUCGGGGUCACCCGGAUUUGAAGUCCAGCUCUUGUAAUCUGCCAGCUCUUGGACCUGGAACAGGUUGGAGAUGGCAUGCCCCAACCAUCUGCAGAAGCACCUGGCGAAGGAGGAGGUAACCUGAGAGGGGAGAAAGCUGGCCUGUGUCUUGAACAGGCAUUAGGCUGAGUAAUGGAUUUUUACCUGGACACACGGCAGCCUGAAAUAAAGACUACACAUUUGAGUAUCCCCGCAGCUAGUUGUUUCAUUUGACUAAAUCCUGGCCGAGGAGUUACACAAGGAAACAUCAUGGUCAACUUCUAGGGAAGGUCCUUAAAUUGAAAAAGAAUUGCCUUCUUGCCCUUUUCUUUUUCUUGCUGGUUAGAACGUGGAAGGGAUGGCUAGAGCUCAAGCAGCCCUUUUGGUCCAGGAGGCAGCACACUUAAGAUGGUAGAAGAGUAAGAAGAAAGAAGCCUAGGGACAAGAAACACUGCCUUUGCCAGGCAGAGGCUACAGGCCACAUGAACAGGAUAGAGCACUCAGCCUCCUGACCUCACUUUAUUCUCCCUUCUGGGCCUCUCUUGCAAGCAGCAAUAUGAUUUGGAGAAGUGGAUAAAGGCCAAAAAGAGCCUCCCAAAACGCACAGACUUUGGAGAAUCCUGUUUGGAUCUAUGUGUCCAUGGACCUAUUGCUUUUCUGUGUUCCUCAGAGUACAAAGUACACUGGGGUUGGCGCCCUCCUGGAAUGUCACCAGGGGCUCAGUGAACUCUGCACAGCAUCCCACUUAGGUCCACCAGCAAGAUUGCUUUGCCAACCUUGGUCAGUCUUUGGGCAUAAAAGGAAAAGGGCCUGCUAAGGACACGUGGUCGCAGACAUUUCCUGCCUGAGCCUGAGCAGCUUUCCUCGUCUUGCACACACGCUCCCCCUACUGCCUGACACAGACAAUGCACCCCUGGGUCCAGCAACGGGGACCGCUCCAGCCUGGCGCAGGGAUGGCCGUGUUGAAAGGCUGCAGAAGAGUUGCCAAAAACUGAAAUAGUGGGUCCUUAAGAAUUCUUCCAUUGCUCCAGUGAAGGGCCUAAGCUGAAUCUUUCUUUACACUUCAGGAAUAAGCUCUGUAAUAAAGACUGAAUAAAUAAAUCCUCCCUAAAAUAGAGUUCUGC
ensembl:lncRNA